rnacentral:lncRNA from 1 species
GAAAGGGCUCCAUAAUGAAUCUUCUGGCAGGUUUGAGAGAAAGAAGCAGCUGGGUACUCAUGGCAGUAAAACAUAGUGGAACCUACUGUGUCUGAAAUCCCAUGACAAGCAAGGAAGCACUCUGCAGGCAUGAUCAGGAGAGGAGGAGAGGGCAGGAGAAUGAGUCACUGCAGGAUAAUGUCACUGAGGAAGGUGGAGGCUCUCUGGAAGCUGCACAGGGGUUAAGAAGUAAGAUGUUGGAGAUAUAACCAAAGGAAUUGAUUGAGUGUAA